rnacentral:lncRNA from 1 species
UAUCUUUAAGAGGAGGGCUCUCUGACGCUCAAAUGUUACUACGUAAAUAGCAACACUCUUCUGAGCUCUGAAUAGCUGUACGACCAAACAAACUGGAGGACAUCAAGAAAGGAAGGGAGAAAGUUUUUUCCCUGGGAAAAUUAUCAUCAUGGAGGAGAUGUUAUUUGCAGGAGUCCUGUUCUCACAGUGCUAUGGGGUUUAGAGAUCCUUGCUGCUGCUGCUGACUGAUGAAAUGCAAAAUUAAUACUUCAUCAAGGGAAGCCCUUGACAAAGCUGCAGCUUUGUUCUGAAGCCUUCCCAUGUGAGGAUCUGCAAUGUGGCACAAAACCCACCUGGAACAGGAGAAAGAUUUCCGCUCUCUGUGCUUAGCCUUGAGACAAAUCAGUGCAAAAGGAACCUCUCAGUCUCUGGCAAGUGGCACAGAGGUACGUGGAAAGUCUUCCAGCCCUCCAGGAGCACGCCUGAACCAAAGUGAAAUGUGUCAGCACCGCCGCAAGUGAACAGCUCCUCCAAAUAGCUCAGAGUGCGAGUCGUAAUACACAACAUUAAAGUCAUCACUGCCUCCGUAGAUCUGGAAGGUAUUGUCUCUAGAGGCUAAGGGAACAUAAACAACAAUGGCAAAAACAAAGGCAAGAAACGCUGUAUUUCAUACCAAUUAAAGUGUAUUUCUGACACUUUGCAGAGGCACUGUGCGCUCAACUCUCUUGAGAGGUCUGCUGCUGAAGCUGUGAUGUGGCUCCUGCCUUCACAGCUCCUUCCUGCCUCACCAAGUAAUUAUAUUUGCUGAGAGCUUUGCUUCCUAUUGUUCCCAUAACAUACUCAGCAUAGGAAAAGCGAGACGUGCCUUUUGGGAGGAAAGGAAUGGUGGGUAGUGAAUGAGUAUGGCAAGAACUGGAGCUUGCACAAUGAUCAGUCCUCAUGCUGGAUAGAGAAAAUCAGCAGGAGACAUCUUCCACUGGAAAAUGCUGAUUUGGCAAUGUUAUUGAGGCUCUGGGAAUAGGCUGGAAGCUAGGCCAGCUGGCAGCCCUACCUGUUGGGCAGAACCUAUGCAGUUCUGCCUCCUCCCAUCCAGACCCAUUUACACCAAGUUGUUUUUUUGUUUGUUUGUUUGUUUUCUUUUUCCUGAAAGAAAUUUCACUUUCAGUCUUAUUUCUCUGGCUCAGACAUGGUGUUUUGCUCUGACAAAGUUCUUCUACUAUAGAAAUUUUCUGUAAAUGUCACCUCUGUGAGAGCUGGAGGGUAUGUACUCUGCAAGUCCCUGUGUCUGGAUGAAGAAGGAGUUGCUGGAAACCAGUAGGACAUCUGUGUGUACCAAAGGACCAUGUGUGGAAGUCCCCCAGGACAUGUUGAGCUCCACAGAAUAAUCACACUGUGGAACUCCUGGAGCUGAUAAGUUCAGAAUUCUGCAAGACAUUGGAUCUGCUCGAGGCCCACAGCACAUGCUGCCAUUGAGCUGCACAACCUGAGGCACCUCCAAGAAGGAGGUGGCUGCUGUGUGAAGCCCAAGACUGCAGACAGACACCUGGGGGAACAAGAUCUCUGAAGGGCUUUCUAAGUGCCCACCUGGAAAUCACUGGUUCACCAGCAGUGAGCAGUCAAUGGAUACUGCUGAACACAUCACAGGCAUUGUUAUAUAUCGUUAAUUACAGCUUGGUUCUACUGAUGACAACAAUUUCUUCCUUAACAUUUCUUCUAAGAAGGACUGGAUGCAGUCUGUUUCUUCUUCAGCUUAUUUUACAUCAGGAAAAAAAGAAGUCAUUUUCAUUGCUGCACAUUCCCUUCUAGCUACUGCACAAAGGGGCAGGAAAGAUGAGGCCCUUAAUAAAACUAUGCAAAAUACUAAGUUAAUAGGAAAU